CACGUAGGGCGCAAGCGUUGUCCGGAAUUAUUGGGCGUAAAGAGCUCGUAGGCGGUCUGUUGCGUCCGCUGUGAAAACCCGGGGCUUAACCCCUGGCUUGCAGUGGAUACGGACAGACUAGAAGUAGGUAGGGGAGAAUGGAAUUCCCGGUGUAGCGGUGAAAUGCGCAGAUAUCGGGAGGAACACCGGUGGCGAAGGCGGUUCUCUGGGCCUUACCUGACGCUGAGGAGCGAAAGCGUGGGGAGCGAACAGG
rnacentral:rRNA from 1 species